UUCCUACGGGGCGCAGCAGUGAGGAAUAUUGGUCAAUGGCCGGAAGGCUGAACCAGCCAAGCCGCGUGAAGGACGAAGGUGCCAAGCAUUGUAAACUUCUUUUGUCAAGGGACAAAAUCAGGCUCGAGAGCCUGACCGAGGGUACUUGAAGAAAAAGCAUCGGCUAACUCCGUGCCAGCAGCCGCGGUAAUACGUAUGGGGCAAGCGUUAUCCGGAUUUACUGGGUGUAAAGGGAGCGCAGGCGGCUUGGCAAGUCUGAUGUGAAAGGCUGGGGCUCAACCCCAGGACUGCAUUGGAAACUGUUG
rnacentral:rRNA from 1 species